CUGCCCCACUCACUAAAGCUUUGAUUUAAUCCAGCUCAGCUAGAACAGGCAGCUGCCACAGGGAUUGGGCUCACCCAACAGCAAGCCCUCAGGCAACUUGUGGGCCUACAUAGGCUGGGUGCCUGGAUCCUCAGCAGGCAGGGUGUCUUCCUAUUAAAUAUGGGGACCACGAGGACCCUCUGCUAUGUUCUUAGUGGACAUCACAGAUGUGGAAGAGACACGGCCUUUGGAAUCAGAUUUGUUUCUGUUUCCCAGAUCUGCAAUUUAAUAUAUGUGAACCUGGAUGUUUCAGUUGGGAAUGACAAAUUCAUACGCUAUAGGGCUCAAGCAGUUACAACGAUGAGGAAGAAGGCAACAGGGAGUGGUGUGGACUGGUCCAAAGUGGAGAAUGCUGCCCCAUCUUUCUCCAGACAGCAAGAGAGGAGAGCAAGCAUGAACUGGAGUGAUUAACGGCUCUUUUCUGACCACAUGCCCUCAUCUGUAAGACAAUGUGGGGAAAGCCCCCUUUCUAUGUUUUAUUUUGCAUUCCCAGGAUAUGGCCAAGGUGGCAGGGACAUAGGAGAGAAGAGGGGAGGAAUUCCAGUUUGAGAUCCAG
rnacentral:lncRNA from 1 species